UACGUAGGGGGCAAGCGUUAUCCGGAUUUAUUGGGUUUAAAGGGUGCGUAGGCGGAACAUUAAGUCAGCGGUAAAAUACGGGGGCUCAACCUCCGCCCGCCGUUGAAACUGACGAUCUUGAGUGGGCGAGAAGUAUGCGGAAUGCGUGGUGUAGCGGUGAAAUGCAUAGAUAUCACGCAGAACUCCGAUUGCGAAGGCAGCAUACCGGCGCUCAACUGACGCUCAUGCACGAAAGCGUGGGUAUCGAACAGG
rnacentral:rRNA from 1 species